rnacentral:rRNA from 1 species
AGCAGCCGCGGUAAUUCCAGCUCCAAUAGCGUAUAUUAAAGUUGUUGCAGUUAAAAAGCUCGUAGUUGAAUUUCGGGGUUAGUAGGUUGGUCGUGCCACUGGUAUGUACUGGCUCUACUGAUCCCUCCUUCUUGUAGAACCGUAAUGCCAUUAACUUGGUGUUGCGGGGAAACAGGACUGUUACUUUGAAAAAUUAGAGUGUUUAAAGCAGGCUUACGCUUGAAUACAUUAGCAUGGAAUAAUGAAAUAGGACGCUCGAUCCUAUUUUGUUGGUUUCUAGGAUUGACGUAAUGAUUAAUAGGGAUAGUUGGGGGCAUUAGUUUUCAAUUGUCAGAGGUGAAAUUCUUGGAUUUAUUGAAGACUAACUACUGCGAAAGCAUUUGCCAAGGAUGUUUUCAUUAAUCAAGAACGAAAGUUAGGGGAUCGAAGACGAUCAGAUACCGUCGUAGU